AAUCAGACGUUUUGAAGUCCAUUGUGUUUACAGGCAUGCAUCAGUCCUGCAGAAAGAGCUAGGUGGUACCUCACCAUUCUAGGCCACACAAUGCUAUGACGUCCCACACACUGCUCCCCACCCACCAUCCUGCAGCACAGCCAGCCCUGCCAGCAUCCUGGGCACCACCACGAGGCUCACCGUGCCUUUGUUGCACAGCCCUAAGCUUGAUUCUCAGGCAUUUGGAGUGGUUGAAGGUUCCAGCAUCACUGAAAUGCAGCAAGAAAACUGUUCCAGAGCCUUUCCCAACAGAACAUGGUCUUAACAGUAUCAGAAAUUCUUCAUGAAAGCAUAGUCCCAAACUGACCUUUUAAGGAAACUUGUGAUGAUUCAGAUAUGAAGGUCUGGAAGGUAUACAAAUAAAGCACAGAGCCAUAUAGUAAAGAAACA
rnacentral:lncRNA from 1 species